rnacentral:rRNA from 1 species
AGAGUUUGAUCAUGGCUCAGAUUGAACGCUGGCGGCAGGCUUAACACAUGCAAGUCGAACGGUAACAGAACUAGCUUGCUAGUUGCUGACGAGUGGCGGACGGGUGAGUAACGCGUAGGAAUCUACCGAAUAGUGGGGGACAACAGUUGGAAACGGCUGCUAAUACCGCAUACGCCCUACGGGGGAAAGGAGGGGAUCUUCGGACCUUUCGCUAUUUGAUGAGCCUGCGUGAGAUUAGUUAGUUGGUGGGGUAAUGGCUCACCAAGGCGACGAUCUCUAGCUGGUCUGAGAGGAUGAUCAGCCACACUGGGACUGAGACACGGCCCAGACUCCUACGGGAGNCANCAGUGGGGAAUAUUGCACAAUGGGGGAAACCCUGAUGCAGCCAUGCCGCGUGUGUGAAGAAGGCCUUCGGGUUGUAAAGCACUUUCAGU